rnacentral:rRNA from 1 species
UACGUAGGCAGCAAGCGUUGUCCGGAAUUACUGGGCGUAAAGCGCGUGUAGGUGGUGGGACAAGUCUGCUGUGAAAGCGCCUGGCUUAACCGGGCGAGGUCGGCGGAAACUGUCCGACUCGAGGACGGUAGAGGGGGGUGGAAUUCCCGGUGUAGUGGUGAAAUGCGUAGAGAUCGGGAGGAACACCUGUGGCGAAGGCGGCCCCCUGGGCCGGCCCUGACACUGAGACGCGAAGGCGUGGGGAGCGAACGGG